GUGUUCACUUUGGCAGCACAUACACUAAAAUUGGAAAAGAUUAGCAUGGCCCCUGUGCAUGGAUGACAUAAAUUCAUGAAGUAUUGCAUAUUUUC
rnacentral:snRNA from 1 species